UUUACUCUAUGAUGCUUAUUGUUGGCACGAGACAAUUUUUCUUGAUUGAUAUAGGCGGUGUUGAGUGCUUUAGGUUUUAUGCAGUGAGCAGUUGGAUGCUAGAAUUUGAAUUUGGUUUUGUCAUGACCUGGCUGGAGCUUAGGGAGUCGAGUUUACUCCAGCGACAAAACAAGGGCUAAGAUAGCUCAAGGUUGCAUAUGCAUGGUACAAUGGUAACAGACAUGUACAACAAGGUUUGGACCUCCCAACAAGGCCUGCUCAUACAGUAUACAUGGAGCUGCAUUGGGCACUGCAGGAUGCAGGGGAUCAACCACUAUAGGUCCGACAUCGAGCCCUCUCCUCCGUUGACCUUGGGUCGUCACCAGCGCAGGCCGCCGCUCGGGCCACAUGUUCCUUAAACAAGCAAUCAUGCCAUUGUUCUUCUCAGAACCGUAGAUGGAUACACUCAUGUCAAGGGUUUGGGAGACUGAUGCUGCAGCGCAUGGAACAAAAGGGGCCGCCGAUGCGAUGUGCUCAGCCGUGGUUUGUCAAGGUGGAUGCGCGCAACACCGUGAAGAAGGCGACUCUACGUUCCUGUGGUAAUGUUUGUAUUUUUGAGGAAGAAGAAAAUGUUCUAACUAAUAUUGGGUCAAACUCUUGCUGUUCAAGAAGGUUUUGGUUGGAACUUUUUGAAUUUUAAGAUAUUUGUUUUUGUUCAGAGGUUGACCAAUGAUUGUUUGGGACUAUCACUUACCAUGGUCCUGAUUUUUGUGUUAGUUUUUCUUUGGAAUCUGCGAAGUGGAAAUCUAUUGGAGCACUUGAAGGCUAACAAGAAAACCAGAAACAUAGCUUAUGAUUUGAUUAUCGAAAUUGGCCGUUCUUGUGAAGAUGCUGAAAAUGAUGGGAGGGAGGCCAACCUGCACCAGUUCUUUGACAUGGUCUGAAACUAUUAAAAGAGUUGUUCCAGAUCUGAAACAACUAAAAGAGCUAUAUAUGGUACCUAUUUCUCCGACCAGUGCGGUUUCUGUUUCUGUUGUUCCAGGUGCAGCUGACAAUUGGCCGGCUGUAGCCCCUCAUCCACACAAUGCAAAUAGCAACAAUAAGUGAAGACUCGCAGUUGCAAUCUCACUAGAACAUUGAGACGAAAAGGAAGAAAAGGAAAAUUGUCGAAUUAUCGUGAGAUUCCAGGCUUCAAUCAGAACAGAGGCCGGAGCUGCAUGGAGACCAGCGGAGGUUGAUGAAGAGGUCAGGGAUGAGGGCGCCAGCCUAUUGGAAUUGUUGGAGAAAGACCCCAUACCUGCAGCUGAAUGCUAUGGAGGUUGCGUUGUCCGCCUAGGGUCCAUGAGACAGCUGUUUGUUCGCCAACCAUGGCUGCUUCAACUUUCAUCGACCAUGUCAUGCUUGGAGAGCUGCAAGAAAAGGGGCCCAACGGAGGGGCGUGCUGCCGGCGCGAGCUAACUGGAUGCAGUGCCGGGGAGUGGAAAUUGUAUAGGGCAGGCGGACAUCGAUGGAGAGGAGGCAGCCCCUGAGGCGAGAGGCAGGGAUGCAGGUGUGUGAGCGGCCGGUCGUCAUGGGUGGGGAGAAAGGGGAAUGGGAGGAUGAGAGAUCGAGACAGAGUGGAGUGGGUGGGUGUUGAAGCAGCACAACACAAACUGAGGUUGUCUCGUGUCUCGAAGCCGUCCAAGCAACUGGAGAAUAGAGUAUGGGAUGCAUCCAAAAUUCCAAAUCAAGAUUGAUUGCAAGAAUCUGGUCACGACACUCAAAGUCGGAAGUGGCAUUUGACACCUCAAGGUGUUAUUUAUCAUGAUAUUUGACCGUUUGUUUCGUUAAACUUUAUUUCAGUAAAAAAAUUGUUUUGCCCAAGUGGCAUGUCCUUGUGGCUUAUGGUGCUAGGAAGACUGAUCCAUGUUCGUGUGGUGUGAUGGUGGGCACUGAGUUAGCUGUACCUGUGUAAUAGAAUAGAUCUGUUCCUGGUCAACAAGAAAAACAAUUAGCUGGCUUAAAUAUGUGCCCUGAGAAAUAGAGCUAGCUUACAUA